GACGAACGCUGGCGGCGUGCCUAAUACAUGCAAGUAGAACGAGUUGCGAACGGGUGAGUAACGCGUGGUAACCUGCCUCAUAGCGGGGGAUAACUAUUGGAAACGAUAGCUAAUACCGCAUACCAUCAGAUGUGCCCAGAUGGGAUUAGCUUGUUGGUGGGGUAACGGUGCACCAAGGCGACGAUCCCUAGCUGGUCUGAGAGGAUGACCAGACAAACUGGAACUGAGACACGGUCCAGACUCCGACGGGAGGCAGCAGUGGGGAAGAUUGCACAAUGGGCGCAAGCCUGAUGCAGCCAGGCCGCGUGUAUGAAGAAGGCCUUCGGGUUGUAAAGUACUUGCAGCGGGGAGGCGUUACCCGCAGAAGAAGCACCGGCUAACUCCGUGCCAGCAGCCGGGGUAAUAC
rnacentral:rRNA from 1 species